rnacentral:rRNA from 1 species
UUAGUUAGGGGGUGCGGCUAAUUCAUGUAAGGUCGAACGCUCAGCUUAAAGGUGCUUGCACCUUUCAAGUGAGUGGCGAACGGGUGAUUAACACGUGGACAACCUGCCUCAAGGCUGGGGAUAACAUUUGGAAACAGAUGCUAAUACCGAAUAAAACUUAGUGUCGCAUGACACAAAGUUAAAAGGCGCUUCGGCGUCACCUAGAGAUGGAUCCGCGGUGCAUUAGUUAGUUGGUGGGGUAAAGGCCUACCAAGACAAUGAUGCAUAGCCGAGUUGAGAGACUGAUCGGCCACAUUGGGACUGAGACACGGCCCAAACUCCUACGGGAGGCUGCAGUAGGGAAUCUUCCACAAUGGGCGAAAGCCUGAUGGAGCAACGCCGCGUGUGUGAUGAAGGCUUUCGGGUCGUAAAGCACUGUUGUAUGGGAAGAACAGCUAGAAUAGGAAAUGAUUUUAGUUUGACGGUACCAUACCAGAAAGGGACGGCUAAAUACGUGCCAGCAGCCGCGGUAAUACGUAUGUCCCGAGCGUUAUCCGGAUUUAUUGGGCGUAAAGCGAGCGCAGACGGUUUAUUAAGUCUGAUGUGAAAGCCCGGAGCUCAACUCCGGAAUGGCAUUGGAAACUGGUUAACUUGAGUGCAGUAGAGGUAAGUGGAACUCCAUGUGUAGCGGUGGAAUGCGUAGAUAUAUGGAAGAACACCAGUGGCGAAGGCGGCUUACUGGACUGCAACUGACGUUGAGGCUCGAAAGUGUGGGUAGCAAACAGGAUUAGAUACCCUGGUAGUCCACACCGUAAACGAUGAACACUAGGUGUUAGGAGGUUUCCGCCUCUUAGUGCCGAAGCUAACGCAUUAAGUGUUCCGCCUGGGGAGUACGACCGCAAGGUUGAAACUCAAAGGAAUUGACGGGGACCCGCACAAGCGGUGGAGCAUGUGGUUUAAUUCGAAGCAACGCGAAAGAACCUUACCAGGUCUUGACAUCCCUUUGAAGCUUUUAGAGAUAGAAGUGUUCUCUUCGGAGACAAAGUGACAGGUGGUGCAUGGUCGUCGUCAGCUCGUGUCGUGGAAAUGUUGGGUUAAGUCCCGCAACGAACGCAACCCUUAUUGGUAAUUGCCAGCAUUCAGAUGGGCACCCUAGCGAGACUGCCGGUGACAAACCGGAGGAAAGCGGGGGACAACCUCAAAUCCACUGGCCCCUUAGAACCGGGGAUACACCCGUGCUACAUGGGCGUAAUCAACGAAUUGCCAACCCCCGAGGGGGAGCCAAACCCUUAAAGGACGCUUCCAGUUCGGAUGGUAGUCCCCCACUCGCACUACUGUAAAUCGGAAUCCCUAAUAACCCGGAAAACACCCCCCCCGGGGGAAAACUUUCCCCCGGUUUUUACCCCCCCCCCCCCCCCCGGGGGAAUUUUUAUAGCCCAACCCGGG